rnacentral:rRNA from 2 species
UAGGGAAUUUUCGUCAAUGGGGGGAACCCUGAACGAGCAACGCCGCGUGAGCGAUGAAGGCCUUCGGGUCGUAAAGCUCUGUCCUCAAGGAAGAUAAUGACGGUACUUGAGGAGGAAGCCCCGGCUAACUACGUGCCAGCAGCCGCGGUAAUACGUAGGGGGCUAGCGUUAUCCGGAAUUACUGGGCGUAAAGGGUGCGUAGGCGGUCUUUCAAGCCAGAAGUGAAAGGCUACGGCUCAACCGUAGUAAGCUUUUGGAACUGUAAGACUUGAGUGCAGGAGAGGAGAGUGGAAUUCCUAGUGUAGCGGUGAAAUGCGUAGAUAUUAGGAGGAACACCAGUAGCGAAGGCGGCUCUCUGGACUGUAACUGACGCUGAGGCACGAAAGCGUGGGGAGCAAACAGG